AGGGCCAGAGGAGCCUGGAGUGG
rnacentral:miRNA from 1 species